GAGAUGGCCAGUCUAUGAUAUGAAGGAAGAUCUAUCAGAAAAUUGAUCAAUACAGUUUAACAAAUACUGUUUCCUCAAAAGAUCAUGUGUCUUCAGUGGUUACAUGGAAGUGUUCCAGGCCUGAACCAUGUGCAUUAUGGCUUUAUAAGCGAUGUAUCCAGUCUAUAGGAAGAGAUGAAAUAACAUGGGCUUAAAGAGAUGUGGGAUCCUUAUACAAAACCCCUGGAAGGACCAGCAGUGGGAAAUGUGGAGAUGAAGAGGACUAAGACUUGCUCUAUGGAAAUUGCAAAAUUAAAAGAAAGAGACGUGACUCUGAGGCCAA